rnacentral:tRNA from 1 species
UGUGGGGUGGAGCAGUCUGGUAGCUCGUUGGGCUCAUAACCCAAAGGUCGUAGGUUCGAAUCCUGCCCCCACUACCA